ACUCAAUACCUACUAUGUCCUAUGCUCUGUUCAAGAAACUUGGAAUACAUUAGUGAGCAAAACAAAGAUCUUUGACCCACGGAGUUAUGUACUAGUGGUUAGACAGGCAGUAGAGACUGGAACAUGAUAUGUAAUUAACAACCACAGUGUGUGAGCAUGAUAAUGACUGUGUAGAAAGGAAAGGAAAGAAAGGAAAAUGGGCAGCAGGAUAAAGUGCUAGGCAGUGCAUCUCUCCUUUCUGCUGCUUUAAGCACUGGCCAUACCCUUCUCAAAACCACUCUUUGCAGCCAAUGGAGCUGCCUUGCCGAGAUAGGCCUAGAAGGUUCUGUAUCCUCUUAUUUCACGUCUAGGAGCUGGCUUGCAUGCACUCAUCAGCUGUAUGGGUCUAUUAGCAUGCCCAAGAUGGGCAACUCAGUGAUGCCAUUUAUAGUUAAAACUAGACGUCCCAGGGAGUCAGGCUAGGGUCCUCCCACUAAACCACAUCUUUAUCUAGCUUCUUUCCUGCCCUGUCCAGCUUCUCUCUCUCCAACAAGCUACACCUGAAACACUCCCUCAUUAACUCACUUGCCCAGGAGCCUCUACUUCAGUUCCUAAGGAGCCUCCAAACUGAGCUCGGCCACAGUGAAAGGGGAAUAGGUGUGCUGAUAGCAGAGCAGGGGUCUUAUCAAAGGAUUAAGUAGCAUAGUCAAAAUGGAAGAAAUGGGACUUGAUCAAAGACCUGAAGAAGAUGAGAGACUCAGCCAAGAGGAGAAACACUGCAGGCAGAGGGCAGAGUUAGAGCAAGGCCCUGUGGUAGAGAGAAUAUCACGCUUCCAGAAGACCACAUCCUCAUCUGUAGAACUUGUGAACAUGUUAGGCUACAUAGCAAAGGGCAAUCACGGUUGGAUCAAGGCUGCCAAUCACGUGACCUUAAAGUAGCAUAGUCCUGGAUUACUCAGAUGGGCUCAAUGCAGUCCUAAGAGUCCUUGAAAGUGGGAGAGGGAGGCGGAAGAGGAAGUCAGGGGGAGGCAGGAGGUGGAGUCAGAGUCAGAGGAAGCUGUGCCUGUGGGGGAGAGACAGAAAAGAGUCAUGUUUCUGGCUUUGAAGACAGAGGAGAGGGUCAUGAGCCAAGAAAUGUGGACAGCCUCAAGAAACUGGAAAAGGUACACAGUAGAAUCACACUUCUCCACCCACCUGGAAUUAGGUGUGCACGUCUCAUUUGUUUUGGUCACUGAACUAUGAAUUAACACAAGAAUGAAUCAAAGUGACAUCUCCUGAGAGUUGGACUCUAAAGAAAGCUGAGUGCAGAAGAAUUGAUGCUUUUGAACUGUGGAGAAGAACUCUUGAGAAUCCCUUGGACUGCAAGGAGAUCCAACCAGUCCAUCCUAAAGGAGACCAGUCCUGGGUGUUCAUUGGAAGGACUGAUGUUGAAGCUGAAACUCCAAUACUUUGGCCACCUGAUGCGAAGAGCUGACUCAUUUGAAAAGACCCUGAUGCUGGGAAAGACUGAGGGUAGGAGGAGAAGGGGACGAUAGAGGAUGAGAUGGUUGGAUGGCAUCACCCACUCAAUGGACAUGAGUUUGGGUAAACUCUGGGAGUUGGUGAUAGACAGGGAGGCCUGGCAUGCUGUGGUUCAUGGGGUUGCAAAGAGUCAGGCAUGACUGAACUGAACUGAUAGCUCCUGAUUGACUUUUGAAUUUUUCAGUUUUGGACUACUUUAAAGAAUGCUAUGGUGAACAUUAUAAAUACAUAUUUUGGUACAAAUGUGGAUGCACUUGUGUUGAGUAUAUUCCCAAAGAGUGCAGUUGUUGGGUUGUAGGAACAUUUGCCUUUAUAAAUAUUACCACUUUUCCCAACUGGUUAUACCAAUUUUUAUUUCAAGCUGCCAUCCAUAUAUGAGUGUCCCUUGAUCCAGAUCUUGAUAGCACUUGGUAUUGUUAGUAUCUUCAAUCUUAGCUAAUUAAUGAGCAUAUAAUUAUAUUCAUUGUGGUUUUAGGUUCCAGUUCAUGAUGAAUAAUGAGAUUGGCCACAUUUUCACAUGCUUUUUGGCAAUUUGGAUAUCUUUUCUGUGAAGUGCCUGUUCAAACAUUCUGAGCAUUUGAAAACUUGGUUGCUGGCUUGGUUUAUUGUAGGAGUUUUUAAUGUAUUCUGUAUUUCAUUCCUUUGUCAGUUCUAUAUGGGGCAAGUGUUUUUUACUCUGUGGCCUUCUUAUAAAGGGAUCUUUGGAUAAACUUCCCCUGGAGAAGGAGUUGGCAACCCACUCCAGUAUUCUCGCCUGGGAAAUCCCACAGACAGAGGAGCCUGGAGAGCUACAGUCCAUGGGGUCACAAAGAGUCAGACAUGACUGACUGAGUGAUAGCAAUAGCAUUGAUAAACUUCACCUUUAAAUUUUAAUGAAGUCCAGUUUGUUAAGGUUUUUCAUUUUGGUUUGUGUUUUAAAAAAAUGUCUGUGUAGAAGAUGUUAUUUUUGAUAAUGUUUAUUAUUUUACCUUUCCCUUUUUUGAUCUGUGGGCCAUCUAGAAUUAACUUGUAUGCAGGGAGUGGGGUACGAGUAAACCUUUAUGUUUUUUCCUAUGUAGACAUCUGGUGGGCCCAGUACCAUUUAUUGAAAGUACCAUUUUUUCCCUUACUGUGGUACAGUGAUGUGCUGUGCUGAGUUGCUCAGUCAUGUCCAACUCUUUGCUACCCCAUGGACUGUAGCCCUCUAGGCUCCUCUGUCCAUGGGGAUUCUCCAGGCAAGAAUACUGGAGUAAUUUGCCAUGCCUUCCUCCAGGGGAUCUUCCCGACCCUGGAAUUGAACCAGGGUCUCCUGCAUUGCAGGUGGAUUCUUUUUUUUUUUUUAAACUUUACAUAAUUGUAUUAGUUUUGCCAAAUAUCAAAAUGAAUCCACCACAGGUAUACAUG
ensembl:lncRNA